rnacentral:rRNA from 1 species
UACGUAGGCAGCGAGCGUUGUUCGGAGUUACUGGGCGUAAAGGGUGUGUAGGCGGUUCUUUAAGUUUGGUGUGAAAUCUCCCGGCUCAACCGGGAGGGUGCGCCGAAUACUGAGGGACUAGAGUGCGGGAGAGGAAAGUGGAAUUCCUGGUGUAGCGGUGAAAUGCGUAGAUAUCAGGAGGAACACCGGUGGUGUAGACGGCUGUCUGGACCGUAACUGACGCUGAGACACGAAAGCGUGGGUAGCAAACAGG